AGCAGGUCAGGUGUUGAGGUGCUGAAA
rnacentral:sRNA from 1 species